rnacentral:tRNA from 1 species
UGACCUGGUAGCUCAGUUGGUAGAGCAUCUCCCUUUUAAGGAGAGGGUCCUGGGUUCGAGCCCCAGCCAGGUCACAA